CCACACUGUUGAGAGAUUGUGGCUUCUGAGCACAUCGCUGAGGUUGUCACAAUGACCAAAAAUGUCAAACUCAUACUCAGAAUCUUGGUGGAUCUCAGUGAAAGAAACACAAAACCAGAUUUUGGAAAUCCAGGAGUCUGCUGAGGUAGACUGAUCAAAUUCUGCCCAAAUCUGCUUUCUUCCCUGCAUCUGCUCUCAGCUGACAUAAAUCAACAAAACAGAGAAGGUUGUUGAUGAGAUGGACAAGCUGGUUCCGAGUCAACUUUAAUAAAGCAUAACUUGAG